CGCUCGUAGUCGGGUUUCGGGUCGGGCCGAGCGGUCUGCCGAUGGGUAUGCACUGUUUGGCGCGGCCUUCUUUCCGGAGACCGCGGCUACUCUUAACUGAGCGGGCGUGGGAGACGGAUCGUUUACUUUGAAAAAAUCAGAGUGUUUCAAGCAGGCAGCUCGCUCUUGCAUGGUACAGCAUGGGAUGAUUGAAUAGGACUCCGGUGCUAUUUUGUUGGUUUCGAACACCAGGAGUAAUGAUUAACAGGGACAGUCAGGGGCACUCGUAUUCCGUCGAGAGAGGUGAAAUUCUCAGACCAAUGGAAGACGAACCACUGCGAAAGCAUUUGCCAGGGAUGUUUUCACUGAUCAAGAACGAAAGUUAGGGGAUCGAAGACGAUCAGAUACCGUCGUAGUCUUAACCAUAAACCAUGCCGACCAGGGAUUGGAGGGUGUUCGUUUCGACCUCUUCACCACCUUACGGGAAACUAAAGUCUUUGGGUUCCGGGGG
rnacentral:rRNA from 1 species